UAAAGCGAAAAAAAAUGUCCUCUGC
rnacentral:piRNA from 1 species